rnacentral:tRNA from 1 species
UCCCUGGUGGUCCAGUGGUUAAGAUUCUGCGCUUCCAACGCAAGGGGCGAGGGUUCAAACCCUGGUCAGGAGAA